CGAUAUUUCGCUCUACACGCCGUGGUCUGACUGCCCACUGAGUAGUUAAAUGGCCGCAGUAUAUUAACUGUGCAAAGGUAGCAUAAUCAUUAGUCUUUUAAUUGAAGGCUGGAAUGAAUGGUUGGACGAAAUACUAACUGUUUCAAGUAAAUUUUUUGUAGAAUUUUAUUUUUUAGUCAAAAAGCUAAAAUUUAUUUAAAAGACGAGAAGACCCUAUAAAUCUUUAUAUUUUUUUGUAUAUUAAUUAUAAAGAAUUAUUUAAUUAUUAUAAAAAAAAAUAUUUUAUUGGGGUGAUAUUAAAAUUUAAUUAACUUUUAAUUAUUUAAAUCAUUAAUUUAUGAAUAAUUGAUCCAGUUUUACUGAUUAAAAAUUUAAGUUACUUUAGGGAUAACAGCGUAAUUUUUUUGGAGAGUUCUUAUCGAUAAAAAAGAUUGCGACCUCGAUGUUGGAUUAAGAGAUAAUUUUGGGUGUAGCCGUUCAAAUAAUUAAGUCUGUUCGACUUUUAAAUUCUUACGUGAUCUGAGUUCAGACCGG
rnacentral:rRNA from 1 species